UGAUCAUAUAUAACAACAGUUGGAGAAUUGUAAACCAUAGGAUUUACAGUGAUCAGAUUAUUUAAGGAGGUCAGGAAUGUGCAAUAACAUAUAUGAUUGCGGGAUGAGCACCAGCAAUAAUAAAAUCUAGCAGACACAGUGAACAUACAUUUGAAAGGCAGCCAGAGUAAACACUUCAGCACCUACUCGCAAAAGGACUGAAAAAUCGUCAUUUAAACAAUAGUGGUAACAGUUUGAAUUAUUCUAAAUUAUUUUGCUAACAUAGAUUUACAGCUAAUUUAA